GAAGGAAGGGGCCGGGCGAGGCGGCGCGGGAGCCCGAUGGAGUCUGCGCCGCGGGUCCUCGCGCGCUUGGCUUCCCCUCUUUCGGUUUAAUCUUCAUAAUGCUUAAAGUAGCAAUUAUGAUUUCUUUUUCCUGUAGGUGGGCCCUCCCUUACACAGGUAAGGAAAGAAGAGGACCCCCAGGAGAGCGUCGGGAGGAACCGCAGCACUGCCCGUGGGCAGCAAGAGGAGGAUCCAGAAGAGAGAGCCAGAGAAGGAGCAUCAAAGAAGAGGGGGAAACCGAGGGAAAUUUCAAGGCCACAUGAUUAACAGUGUCAUCCUCAGCUGCUGCCAGGAAGCAGCAUCUCAUCAGCAGAAUUCCGUCUGCAUGCAGAACCCUCGACUCAGCGCAGGACAGCACCCGAGAAGGGGGCUCUUCUGGGAGCCACCCCACCCAGUACACCGUGACUCCCCGCCAGGUCCACGUAGCUGACGGACCACUGAUCACCUCCGUCUGUCAGAGAAACUGCUAACGACAUCAUAGUCACGGUUGUCACAAAUGUGGCUUGGAUGAGGACAGUGGCAGUCGAGCUGAAGAAGGGAGGCGUUGGUGUGGGACUGAGGUUCCCCCCGGCAGCAGGAUGGCAGGGUGGGGCAGGGGUCUGGGAGCACUCAAAGAGAGGAGUCCGAGCCAGGGCAGCUGGUGGGCGCGGGAAGGAAAGACCACUCCCCCAAGCACUCCCGUCCUUCCCCCCCUGGGCUUGCCCUUGCCCUUGCUCGCUGCCCCCGGGCUCGGUAGCAUUCCCUCCGUCUGUCAUUCCUUCUGUCACUCAUCUAAAUCCUAGAUGGCGCCUCGGGGAAUAAAACAAGGACCCCCAAACAUGGCAUCGCAGCAUAGGACAGACCUGGCAAGGGACACAUUUUGAGAGGGAAGUUCCAUACCCGUGCAACACGAGUGAAAGCUGUCAAGGGAAAGGACAGAGGCCCUGGGGACCAGAAGAGCAGUGACACAGAGUGACGGGGGGGGGCGCUGGGGGCGGGGGGGGGCUGGUGGCCAUGGACGAAUAGGAACCCAAACCGCGCCAUUUAAAUAAAGUUUGAAGGCAAAGACUC
rnacentral:lncRNA from 1 species